rnacentral:rRNA from 1 species
UAUAGUAGAGGUAAAGGGAAUUUCCAGUGGAGCGGUGAAAUGCGUAGAUAUUGGAAAGAACACCAAUGGCGAAGGCACUUUACUGGGCUAUUACUAACACUCAGAGACGAAAGCUAGGGUAGCAAAUGGGAUUAGAUACCCCAGUAGUCCUAGCUGUAAACAAUGGAUACUAGAUGUUGAACAGAUCGACCUGUGCAGUAUCAAAGCUAACGCGUUAAGUAUCCCGCCUGGGAAGUAUGCUCGCAAGAGUGAAACUCAAAGGAAUUGACGGG